rnacentral:sRNA from 1 species
GAAUCCGAGGGCAGUCUGACAGUGACAUCUGUCACCCCAGGGAUCACCAGGGUGGAUCUGGCUGAUCUGCAGCUAAGCUGGUGUCCCCCUGCCCCCUCACCCCUACACGUACAUCCCUCCUUGAGGUGAAUGCUCAGUGGAAGAGGAAAACUUUACCUAAUACAGGAGGACCACUCUUCUAUCUAAGGCAUAUAGAACCUCUAAACAAGUUCUCAAGAAAAGUGCUUUUAAAAACCUUUCAUUUAUUUAUCUUGGAUGGAGAACUUGCCCUACAUCAGCUCAU